GCAGGCUGGCCUGGACUUGGCACCCCACUUGAUGCAGCUGAUCCCGUGCCCGAGUGGAGAAGCGCCGAACGCUCCAACGCGGACAGGACUCCUAAACCUCCAACUCCGGUCCCUGCAAUACCUGGCGCCUGCUGCUGGGACACCUUCUGUAGUUCUGCAGCCAGCUGCUUAGGGUCCACCCCCGGGGAGCGCUGCCCACCUACUGAAAGAAUUCACGCACGAAACCACAGGACCGUGGCCUGAAGUGAUCUGGGAACACACUUGAGUAAAGUGCUGUUGCUCUCCACGGCGAACACUCGUCUCUCUUCCCCUCUCUGCCAUUGUUCAUCUGCAUCAAAAGGAAGACACUAGCAUAUAGUUCUCUCCACAACCUGCCUGCAGCUGCAUGCUCACAUUCCGUUGCACAGCUGGACGGCGUUGCCAUGGCGAACAUCCUGUCGCCUGAAUCGUCGGCUGAGAUGGAAGAGAGUAAUUUUGAAGGUGUAAUGAAAGUGCGAACGAUCCAUGAAAAGAAGCAGAAGGCAGAAACAGAAUGAGGGACAACGAAGGUGGUCGGGCACAUACUGAUGAGUCUUGCAUAACACCUGCCGUGUCUUUUCUGCCACAUUAACUUUCAUAUCUGAUGUAAAUUUCCUUUAAAAAAAAAAAAAAAAAAGACAUUUCCUGUUUGAUGUACCUCUUCAGGUAGACCCCUGCUGGGUAGUAUCUGGAGCAGGUGAGGCCGUCCCAGGCGCAGUAGGGGUCCCUGGCCAGGCAGCAGUCUGCGCACUCAGACCCGUAAAGGUCACACUGAUGCAGCUUGACCUGGGCCACGCCCACAUCUGAGCCCACGUACAGCUGUUGCUGUGAAAAGAUAAUGUGGGCUUUCUAACAGCUGCUGAUGAUAUUAAACACGUUAUUGCAACAGCAGUCUCUAGUGGUGAAGCGGGCGUAUUGCAAUAAUGACUUACCCGUUUAGGAGAGAUGAUGAGCUCUUGAAUUUCAGCGCGGUCCUGCGAAGAUUUUGAUUCAUUGAAAUCAAGGUCGUUUCACAGGCACAUUGCUUAUGACAAUAAAUGUGGUUAAAUAUAUAUUAAAUAUAUUAAAUGGCAAGACUGAGUCCAAAAUGAACCG